GCCGAUCUGCACUUGAUUUGUUGGGUCAUUUUUUUUUUUUUUGUGUUUUAAAUCUGGUUUGAAUAUCUAGAUCUUUGCAAACCAUCCAAUACGUAUUUCUGCUACUUUGAGCAAUUUUUUUUUCAGUGCUGUAAUUGGACACAAUUCAGUGUUCAUAGGCAAUUUGAGUUUGUGUAUUUUCACUCUACAACUUCUCCAAACUUUAAGCAUUUUUUUUUUAAAACUCUGGUUCAAAAUUAGUGUGUAGCAUAAAUUGUUUGUGAUCUUGAAAGAAAAAU
rnacentral:lncRNA from 1 species